rnacentral:rRNA from 1 species
AUUGAACGCUGGCGGCAUGCUUUACACAUGCAAGUCGAACGGUAACAGGCCGCAAGGUGCUGACGAGUGGCGAACGGGUGAGUAAUGCAUCGGAACGUGCCCAGUCGUGGGGGAUAACGCAGCGAAAGCUGCGCUAAUACCGCAUACGAUCUAUGGAUGAAAGCGGGGGACCGUAAGGCCUCGCGCGAUUGGAGCGGCCGAUGUCAGAUUAGGUAGUUGGUGGGGUAAAGGCUCACCAAGCCAACGAUCUGUAGCUGGUCUGAGAGGACGACCAGCCACACUGGGACUGAGACACGGCCCAGACUCCUACGGGAGGCAGCAGUGGGGAAUUUUGGACAAUGGGCGCAAGCCUGAUCCAGCAAUGCCGCGUGCAGGAAGAAGGCCUUCGGGUUGUAAACUGCUUUUGUACGGAACGAAACGGUCCUGGUUAAUACCCGGGGCUAAUGACGGUACCGUAAGAAUAAGCACCGGCUAACUACAUGCCAGCCGCCGCAGUAAGAC